CGAAGCACACCAAGUCGACAAACAGUCGAUUCUAACUAAAGUUCAACUCUCGUAUUUCUAGAAUUCACUUCCUUACAACAUGGACAUGAACCCCCUCAAUAGGAGGGUGGGAAGGAAGGAAAUAAUAGGUAGGGAGAUUCGGCUCCUAUUGUAACAUACCGGAUUUUGAUAUAAAAGUAAAAAUAAAUAAAAAUAGUGUGAGAUGCUAUUUUUAUUGGAUUUAGAGAAGUAAAAAAUAAGUCAGAAGUGACUUGUGCUGAAAUCGGAACGAAAAUAGAAGAUUUAGAAUUUUCUGUGAGAAANGGUGGGAAGGAAGGAAAUAAUAGGUAGGGAGAUUCGGCUCCUAUUGUAACAUACCGGAUUUUGAUAUAAAAGUAAAAAUAAAUAAAAAUAGUGUGAGAUGCUAUUUUUAUUGGAUUUAGAGAAGUAAAAAAUAAGUCAGAAGUGACUUGUGCUGAAAUCGGAACGAAAAUAGAAGAUUUAGAAUUUUCUGUGAGAAAUGGGGCUGAAAAAUUAGCAGAAAAUACACAGUGUCAGAAAAUUAUGAAACUGAUAUGUCAAAAUUAUUUUUAUGAGGCUAGAUUUAAAGUUUCAUGCCAUUUUAACACCCGGAAAGUGAAAAAUAAAAUCCGACUGCUGCUAUUUGCUAGAGAUUACAGUUUAGUAGAGCUUUCAGUGACCAAACAGGGUCGAAACUGAAA
rnacentral:lncRNA from 1 species